UAAAGGGUUGUCCCAUUUCACAGGGGAGUGUUUCAACCCCUACCCCUUGCAACUCUGUUUCAAGGGUUAGUGUCAAGUGCAAGGGCCAAGAGGUAGGGGUAAGGGGUGAAUUGGGAUUGGGCCAUACAUCAUAUUUGGAGCUGGGGCUGAACUUCAAACUAGUUCUAGUACUGUAGCUAAAGGUCAUUUAUGUUUUUGAUUAAUCAAUCAGGUUUUUGAACCAUUGAUCAGCGUUUGCUAAAGCCUAUAAUGUUAAGUGUCUAGAAAAUAUUCACAGUUAUGAAGCAUUUUCCACUUAAUUAUUCAAAGUGAUUAUUAAUUAGUUCUUGAUUAUUUUGGUACUCAACAACUAAUUGAUUAAUUUCUGAAGCUCCACAAAACUGGAUCUCAUCAGAAAAAGGUUCUUGGAAAGGACCAGCACUUUACUGGUGUAGUUAACUGAUUACAUCAGGCUCAAUAGGACCAACUAGAACCAUCUAAAACCCAGAGUUAAAGUAGUGUCCAGUCCAUCUAAUCUGAAGAACAACCAGACCUUCAGUGUGGAUGUGGAGUCUAUGAAGCAGGCACCAGGGCCUCAUGACCCAGGAUGUGACGACCUGGGGAUGAUGUCAGACUCAUCAUCUAGGAAGUAGUCUACUCUUCAUGGUACUUCUAUAGCGCCGUGUUUAAAUGAGCAGGAACCAGGUAGAAUCAGUAUAAGUACUUAGAUGUCUCGGAAACGAUAAGGCAAUGUUGUUGAGCUUCAUAAACCUCAGUAGAAGGUGGCUGUAAACCUUUUUCCUAACGCUAAUUUAGUUGUUUUAUACUGAAAUCCAACCGUACCCAUGGCAUCAUCUGGACAUCUGUAGAGGUUCCCUGUAUGUUGAAAUGAUCAACAAGAAAUAAACAAUUCUGAACCAGAAGAAGGUCUGUGUUAGUGUAAGAAGGGGUACUUUAGUUCACAUUUUCUUCAUCUUCUUUAAAAAUGUGAUGCCUUGAUCCACCUCCUGUCUCCACCCACUGAUUCUGUUUGAAGUUCACCAUCCAAGACGUCUUUGUAGGACUUCACAAACUGAUGUUCACACAUUAAUGAGCCUUGUGAACUAAUCAUCCAGUGGAAAGACAUGGACCUGGAAUACAAAAAGUCAUCUGGAGAUUCAUGUCAUCCCCAUUAUUAUGAAUAAACCUGUUUUACAUUUAAAGUAUCCUGUCACAUGUGGAGGUUGUGCAUUUGAAUGUUUGCUUGCUCAUUUCUUGUCAUGUUUAAUAAAUAAUUAAACAUGUUUGCUGUGCG